UCGCUGGGCGUCCACGGCUCCUCGCGGUUGUGUUCUGGAGAGCGGGGAGGAGAUGGGGGGGUGACUGGGUGAGGGAUGGGGGGAGCGGAGAGCAGCACGGAGCACCUGCUCAGGGGCAGACCUCCCGCGUGGCCGCGGCCAACGCCUGCGCCGCUGCUGCCCAGCUGCUCCGGUCAAGACCGCCUACGUGGACUCGACGUCGUCAUCCUUCUCCGGCGCGAAGAGGCUGCGAGGCGGCGCGCGGGUGCCGGAGGGGCACGAGCCGGUGUUCGUCGGCGGAGGGAGGGCACGUGGAGCUUCGCCGUACGCGUCGAGCUCCAGGGUCAGCCGACGUUCGCGGUGUUGCUCCAGCACGCCGCCCGGGAGUACGGAGGCAACCACCCGUGCGUGCCCGCAUCACCUGCGUUGUCGCUGACUCGCGGGUCAUUUUGCAUCAGUGCUCGUCGGCGACGAGGUUGGUCGCUUUGCGUGCAAUCUGUCUGUGUGCAGCCAUCCCAUUGUGUUGGGGCGUUUGAUUUGUUAACAUGUGCUUGCUGUUGGAACUCUUUCCUCCGGAGACGAAUUGGUGAUUGUUGAGGGGGUGAUAUGUAGAGAGGGAAGUUUGGAGGAAGGACCAGAGAAACAUGCCCAAGGAAUUCAUCGACGAGUCACCCUUGUCAAAAAUAAAAUCAUUCUUGUGGUGCCAAGCUCUCCAAAGCAAGAGCAUGAUGCAAGCAGUAGUCUUUAUGUCAUUUGUAUCUAGGAGGACCCUUUUUUUUAGCAGGGGAUCACUAGGAAAUGGUGUCUAUGUGUCAGCAGGUUCGUGCUCUUCUGUUCGUUAUGUUCUCGCCAUAUCUUAUUGUUAACAGUAGGAAAACAUAAGUAAUAAGUUUUCCAGUGUAUUUGCGAUUUUUUUUGUUGGAGGGUGGCUGGGCUGGACCAAGGUUUCAACAUAAAACGUCAAAGACAAGUGCAAGGAGGGGAUUCAUUGAGGUUAGCAUUCAUGCCCAUCAUCAACCGUUCCUGCUCCUAUCUCCUUUUUUUUUCUCCUGAUAUUACUUUGUGUUGGCUUGUACAGACGACUUUUUAGCUUGGUAGUUAGCAAGCUUCAAUUACAGUUCCAAUUCCAUAGUUCAGCCGGUCCUUAAUUCAAAGGUUCAAAAGUGUAUCUGGGUAUUGCAUGUAGCACACGAUGUGCAAGUCGGUGUUUUUAUGAGAUGCAUAUGCAUUUAUUUUUUGUCUACGGUUUAUGAAUGCUUGCCCCAAUCUGUCUGUUUUUCUCAAUUGCCCUUAGUUCACCAUGCGCAAUCGGAUCUCAAACGAAACGCAAUUGCAUUUGCCUUUGACCGGAAUUGCAAACCUGUAAUUUGGUGCCCAAUUUUUUUUCUUGUUGACUCUUGUUGUUGUCGAGACAAUGGAAGCUUUUCUGGUAUCUUUUGUCUGGAUUUUUCCUAGGUUCGAAUUGCAAAUUCUGAAGAUGAUGGCAUUUUGAGUUCAUUCUAUGGAAUUUUUACUUGGCUAGUGUAGUGUUGUUUUUAUCUGGCAUGCAGGGGCCCUAUAUCUGUAUGACGGUUAGAUGGCUGCAGUUAUGCUUUCUAAUUCUUUUGACAAGGGAAGCUACAGGACCACUUGAGUCAGCAAUGAACAGGUACACUUCAUUUUGCCUUUUUGUGUUAUGCUAUCUCUGCCUUUGUGUAUCCAUUUAUUUUUUGGCCCUUAUUUGGUAAUCAAGAUUUAUGUGUUUAGAUACAAAGUGCACCUUCCUGAGUUUAAUGAUAUAGAUUUCUGGGCAUUUCUGUUUUCUUUCUUUAAUUGUGUGUACCUUACUAUGUGCAAUCGAAUAUUUUUAUGAAAUGACAGUGGAUCAUUGGCGUAAUGAACCCAAAAUCCGUCCCUCUUUUUAAUGUAUCUCAAUGGCAUGUAGCUUACUUUGCGCAAUCAGGUUUCAUAUGAGUUGCAAGUGCAUUUGUGAGACAUUAGAAUUGCACAAGAGUAAUUCUCAAAUCGUAUGUGUCGAUUUCUGGAAUUCAUAUGAUUUUUUGCACUUAGCUCACUAUGCGCAAUCGGGUGUCAUACGAAAUGCAAUUGCAUUUUCCUUUGACUCGAAUUGCAACCCUGUAAUUUGGCGUCCCAUUUUUUCGUCAAUUCUUUGUUGUUAUCAGGAGCAUGCAAGCUUUGCUGGUUUGUUUUUUGUCUGAAUUUUUCAUUGGUUUCAAAUUACAAAAUCUGGAACUGCAAACCUAUAAUUGCAUCCCCAGAUUUUUGUACCUUGUCUAUUCUGAAUGCGCAAUCUGAUACUCAAUCUGGUCCGCAUUUUCUGUUACUGUCCAGAAAAUGGGAAGCUUGUCUGGGAUCUCUUUGUCUGACUUUGCCCCAUUUUGUCGGCGUCGUAUCCUGUGAAUCCCUCAUCGAGGUGCACUCCUGCAUCCCACGCAUCACAGCAGGCCGAUUUUCAUCGUGCGCGUGUGUUCACUAUUAGAAUUUUUUGCAAUUAAACGCCCGCUUCCGUCCCUCUUUGCAAACCAGCCCUCCAUACUUUCGGAGGAACCAAUCCCGUCUUCCCCUGCAAAAAGCCCCAUGGCUCUCUCCACUGCGCUCGCCGUCGCCGUUGCCCCCGUGCUCGCCAUUGCCGUCGACCCGGAGCAGAUCCGUCAUCGCCCCAGAGCGAUCUGCCGACGACCUUGCUCCUGCGCUCACUGCCGCCCUGUCCAGGUCUCUGGCCGGCCCUCCGCCCGUCCGCAACUUUGCUAGGGCUUGACGCCAAGGCCGCCGCCAGCCACAACUUCCCUGCCGCUUCACUUGCACAACCAGACCCCUCCACCUGACGAUGCCGGCCUACUGCAGACUCGCGUGGGCAGGAAGUACAGCCUGAGGUUCCUUGCAGAGCAACGAUGACCACCUCACUGAAUUUUCUUGUUCUUGUUUAAUGUAUCUAGUACUAGCAGAUUGACCUCCUCCCAAAUGUGGUUUGUGAGCUUGUAAGCUCCUGGAGAUCUUCACUCCUAGAGUGUAACUGCCGGCUGUGUUUCAGCUCUCUGAAGUUUUUUUGUAAUCUUGCUCAGUUGGGUGUAACUGAGGUUGUUUUCAGUUUUUGACUGAAGAUAAUAUGCUACAUCUGUAGCAUUUUGUAGCUUUGGUCCUUGUAGCUCUUUAGCUCCGGCUGGUAUGCUGCUUCUGUAGCAUUUGCAGGCUCUCCCUGCACUUUGUAACUCCCCUGUACUCCUCUCUUCUUGCUUAAUAUUGAUUUUCAGAAACAAGUGACUGCAAGUUGUUGUGAAUGGAAAUUUCAGAUGGAAACAUAUUCUUA